AUGGGGAUAAUAACAGCACCUAUCUCCCAGGGUUGUUGUGAGGACUAAUGAAAUAAUAGUUAUAUACUAUAAUAACAAGCUAUAGAAAUGCUUGUUCCCUCGCCCCCCCCCCUCCAUGGUGAGUGGAGCAUGAGCUCUGCCUUGCAGAUUCUCCUGGGCUGGGCAAGCUUCGGGGUAGGCCCUUGUGCCUAGGACAUUAUGCUGUCUGUUCCCGAGCCACGUUCCUUCUUUUUCCUGGUGUUUCCCCCACUCUUGUCUUGCUCUGUCUCUAGAACCUCUACUAGCUCUUUUAUGUCCAGCAGCUUCCACCUCCCUGCUUGUGACCUUCACUGAAAUGGCUAGUCAGCUGCGCUCCAGGAGCUGCUCCCAAAGAGCCCUCUGAUCUGAGCUAGCAACCGUGCCCCCAAGCUGGACUAGCUGCUGUGCCCCCAGAACAGAAGGGAACAGCAGGAGUUGCCUCCAUGUCAGACCAUUGUGGUCACUUUCUUCCUGCUACAGCCCGAAGGCCAUUAAUCCCAAGGCCCUAUGCUCCCUGUGGAGCUCUACUGUGAGGUAGUCACGCUGCUGCUCUUGUACCCUACUCUUGUCCGUGCCUCCCACUACCUUGGAUAUCUCCAGCUGGAGCAUCUCCCUUAGACACCUAAUAAAAAGACCUGAUUUUUCUGUAAAGCCCCUUUAGGGCUCACCAACAGACCCUGCCACCUAACUAAGUACAGAGAAGGCCACUAGGUAAAUUACUUGGCAGCCCGUGAAACAGGAUCUAUGAUCUUGUCAAUUCAGAAGAUCCCUCUAAUGAUGCAGAAAAUAAUCCCUCUAUCCUCUGCAUCUCUUAUUCAUUCACGACUUACCAUAAAUUUGCUACAAAGAUUCCACCCAAUAUGAGGCCUUCCUCGCUUUCUCCUAACAUUGUAAGGUACCAGUGGUAGAGGACUCACUUUCUACCUGUUAAGUCAAUCAGCAUUGAUUAAACACCCACUGUGUGCUAAGCACUGAGGACAAAAAGAAGCCAGUCCCUGCCCUCAAGGUGCCCCCAGUCUAAUGGAGGAGUCGUCAUGCAAACAACCAUGUACUAAUGAGCUACACAGGCUAAACUGGAGGUGAUCAACAGGGAGAGGGCCUUAGCAUUAAAGGGGCUGGGGAAAAGUUUGCAGAAGAGGGACCUGUAACAGAUGGGAAGGAAGCCUCGAGGCAGAAGUAAGAGUUCCAGGCUUGGAGGAUGGCCCAUGGAAAUUCUGCAGUUGGGAUUCACUGGAUCGCAGAGUGCAUAGAAAGCAUCUGUGUGCGGCAUUUUAAAGAUGAAGAAGCUGGCAAAGAAGUCAGAGCUAGGCCUGGCAGUGCCAUGAACACACUAGGCAGCCUCCUGCUCCCAGGCCAACGAGGAGCUAUUUCGUUCUCCAGUUCGCUUUCUUGACCAAGCUGUGGAUCCUCAAAGCUGCUCUGCCCCCUAGGAUUAGGUACUAAAUCCC